CCUACGGGCGGCAGCAGUGGGGAAUAUUGCGCAAUGGGCGAAAGCCUGACGCAGCGACGCCGCGUGAGGGAUGACGGUCUUCGGAUUGUAAACCUCUGUCAGCAGGGAAGAACGGUCACUGUGCUAAUCAGCAGUGAAUUGACGGUACCUGCAAAGGAAGCACCGGCUAACUCCGUGCCAGCAGCCGCCGUAAUACGGAGGGUGCGAGCGUUAAUCGGAGGUACUGGGCGUAAAGCGCUCGUAGGCGGUAUGUCAAGUCACGGGUGAAAUCCCCGCGCUCAGCGUGGGAACUGCCUUUGAAACUGGCAAACUGGAGUGUGUGAGAGGAUAGUGGAAUGCCAGGUGUAGGAGUGAAAUCCGUAGAUAUCUGGAGGAACAUCAGUGGCGAAGGCGACUAUCUGGCACAUAACUGACGCUGAGGAGCGAAAGCGUGGGUAGCAAACAGGAUUAGAUACCCCUGUAGUC
rnacentral:rRNA from 1 species